rnacentral:rRNA from 1 species
GACAGAGGUGCCAAGCGUUAGGCGGAAUCACUGGGCUUAAAGCGUGUGUAGGCGGAUCGUUAAGUGCCUUGUGAAAUCCCAUGGCUUAACCAUGGAACUGCUCGGCAUACUGGCGGUCUUGAGCCAUCUAGGGGCUACCGGAACAAAUGGUGGAGCGGUGAAAUGCGUAGAUAUCAAGUGGAACACCGGUGGCGAAGGCGGCCAUCUGGACGGUGACUGACGCUGAGACGCGAAAGCGUGGGUAGCAAACAGG